AUGACUUUAAUCCAACAAACCGAAUGGACCGUCUGAAUGAGGGGAAGAAAAUAAGGAAGCCAGCCACUAAGAAAUGAAGCUUCUCUCUCCUUUGUUAUUAGAUUUAUGAAUAACCUCGAUUUCAAUCUCUCUCCUCCUGAUAUAUCUCCGGCAAUAAAACUCCACCGUUUCUUUCUAUCUUCGUUUGUUGAGUUUUGGCUCAGAUCGACUCCCGGGUAAGAAUUUGUGCCUUUGUUUCACAGUUCGACUCUUUAUUUCUCUUCUCCUAAAGAUUCUUCUCAUUUGAAUCUUUGCCAUUAUCGUUUUUACACAACUUUUGGUUUGGAAUUACGGGUCGAUCAUUUGAAUCUUUGCCAUUAUCUGUUUUGGAGUGUGGUGUGUUAAACUGUGUGGGUUUGGGGUGUUGUUGGUUCAGGUUUGUAGUCUUUGGUCUGACCAAAGUAAAGUCUCUUCUUUCCUUUCCCUUUUAUCUCACUUAAGAUCAUGCUCUAAACUUUUUCGCCUGCCUUUCUUUGAAUAACCUUCUUGUGGUGUCUUGGGUUUAAUUCAAAAUUUUCCGAAUUAUUAAUGGUUGAUGUGGAAAUUUGAUUAGGACAAUGUGAAAAAGUUAUGUUCUAAUUUUCUGAACUGUCAAGAUAUAGGUAUGUUAGGGGAAGCCUACUCUCUGUUUACUGG
rnacentral:lncRNA from 1 species